rnacentral:rRNA from 1 species
UACGUAGGGUGCGAGCGAUAAUCGGAAUUACUGGGCGUAAAGCGUGCGCAGGCGGCUUUGCAAGACAGAUGUGAAAUCCCCGGGCUCAACCUGGGAACUGCAUUUGUGACUGCAAGGCUAGAGUACGGCAGAGGGGGAUGGAAUUCCGCGUGUAGCAGUGAAAUGCGUAGAUAUGCGGAGGAACACCAAUGGCGAAGGCAAUCCCCUGGGCCUGUACUGACGCUCAUGCACGAAAGCGUGGGGAGCAAACAGG